CCACAUAUAAGAGGUAACGCCUGCCCAGUGACCAUGUGUUCAACGGCCGCGGUAUUCUGACCGUGCAAAGGUAGCGUAAUCACUUGUCUUUUAAAUAAAGACUAGUAUGAAUGGCAUCACGAGAGUUCAACUGUCUCCCCCACCCAAUCAGUGAAACUGAUCUCCCCGUGCAGAAGCGGGGAUAAAACCAUAAGACGAGAAGACCCCAUGGAGCUUUAAACUAAAGGCACUAGCUCUUAAUUUACCCCAAGGACAAAACAUCAAACCAGUUAAAGUGACCUGUCGUUUUCGGUUGGGGCGACCACGGAGAAGAACAAAUCCUCCGAGAUGAAAGGGUAAACCCUUAGCCAAGACCCACAAUUCUAAGCAAUAGAACAUCUAACGCACCGAUCCAAUCAAAUUGAUCAACGAACCAAGUUACCCUGGGGAUAACAGCGCAAUCUAUUUUCAGAGUUCAUAUCGACAAAUAGGUUUACGACCUCGAUGUUGGAUCAGGGCCUCCUAGCGGUGCAGCCGCUGCUAAGGGUUCGUUUGUUCAACGAUUAAAGCCCUACGUGAUCUGAGUUCAGACCGGAGUAAUCCAGGUCAGUUUCUAUCUAUGCAAGAAUUUUCCUAGUACGAAAGGACCAGAAAAAUGUGGCCACUACCCCCCUAUGCCACACUCCAAACUAAUGUAGACAACUUAAUUAAAUAGGAGCUUGCAACCAAGCGCAAGAUUAGCAUUU
rnacentral:rRNA from 1 species